GGAUUGUUCGCUCAGCUGGGAGAGCACCGCCCUGACAAGGCGGGGGUCACUGGGUCGAACCCAGUACAAUCCACCA
rnacentral:tRNA from 1 species